rnacentral:tRNA from 1 species
GGAGGAUAGCUUAGUGGUAGAGCACGUGCUUAGCAAGCAUGAGGCCCUGGGUGUGAUCCGCAGUACCUCCG